rnacentral:rRNA from 1 species
ACAGUCACACAUUAGAUACCCCCGUAGUCCCAGCCCUAAACGAUGCGCGUUAGGUGUAUCGGUGACCACGAGUCACCGAGGUGCCGAAGGGAAACCGUGAAACGUGCCGCCUGGGAAGUACGGUCGCAAGGCUGAAACUUAAAGGAAUUGGCGGGGGAGUACCACAACGGGUGGAGCCUGCGGUUUAAUUGGACUCAACGCCGGGAAGCUCACCGGAUAAGACAGCGGAAUGAUUGCCGGGCUGAAGACCCUGCAUGACCAGCUG